UCCACCAUGUAUCGCAUUUGUCAAGUUCUUUGAAUGAAUUUUUCAAAAUAAAUGUGAGCUACAUCAAGUUAUUAUGAUAUGGACCGUAAUUGUCGUGGUUGUCAGAAGUCAUAGAAAAAUACCACCUCCAAAAUUUCAGGCAAAUCGGUUAAUUAUUGCCCCCUCCAGUGGCUCAGGGUGUCAAAUUGGGUUUAUAUGGCAGCUAUAUCAAAUAAUGAACCGAUUUUGACCAUACUAAACGCAGUUGUUGAAAGCCAUAAAUAGAAAAUAGAAAAUUACAGCCCAAUCGGAUAAGAUUUGCGAUAGAGGCUCAACUGGAUAGUGCAUAAAAAUCCUUACGGGGAUAUUCAACUUUAAUUUUUAUUUUUGGAUAUUUUGUUCGAGACCGGCUUCAUACAUAUACAUAAUUUAUACAGUUUGGAGAAUAAUUGCGGCAACAGCGUUUUUAGGGCAUGUGGCGAAGAUGAUGAGAAGUUGGAACAUUUUCUAUGACAAUGCCCGGCUUACGCAGCUAACAGACCUCUGCACUUGGGUGCGGAUACGAUACCUGAGCCAGCUUAAGGGCACAAAAUUCCUGACAUAAAUGUCUUCAGGAACACUUUUUUCUGAUCAAGGGCUCAAAAGCUAAGAAGCAUAAAAAUAUCUCCAAAGUGGCAUGGUGGUGAUUAGAAUCCGCACCCUCUUUUCAAUCUAACUUAACCUAACCAUGUCGAAUGUGAUACCACUGGUAGAGAGCUGUCCACGCACAAGUUCGACGCACUCUCUAACUUAACUACCGGAGUGGUUUGUAACAUUUUUGGUUUUAUAUUGCGAUCCUCCAAACGUCGGACUGGUAGACCGAUGUAUCAAUUUAAGGUUGUGGUCCUACAAAAAAUGCACAUUUAUUACUCGAUUUCUCUUAAAAUUGAAAUAAUUACGACUUUAAAAUAUUUUAUGAUAUAUUUUAUGAUAUUAGUCAACUAAACGGAUCUCCCGAUUUGAGGUACUUUAUUUGCCAGCAGAAGAGAGCAAAUUUUGACAGUUAGAAAAUAGAGAAUCUGCAAAUUUAUACUGGGACAUUUUUUGCCAGCAGAAAUUUGCAACUUUGAACAGAUGUUUUGUAAAGGUCAGCUGUUUUAUGAAAAGCAGCCGUUACAUGAAAAUACAGAAGCUAACGGCAAAAUGGACCAAAAAUGCAGAGAUUCAUGGCAGCAGCAAGUGGUCACUUACAGAAAACUCCCCAUAUGAAGUUGUAAUUUUACCUCAAGUCGAUUGUUCUACAUUAGAAGUAUUUUGAUAGAAUCAUCCGCAUUGGAGAGUUACGAUGAAACCAACCGUUCCUUUGAAUUUGUUAAGGAGGGAAGAUGCUGUGCAGUUAAACAAGUGACGCACAAUGGGAUUAGAAAAAAUUAGUGCAAAUUAGUCUGCCAAUUGUGAACGGAUACAGAUAUCUUCAAAGAUAACAAAGUGUCCGCAGCCGCCACAUGACCAAAUAGAAAACUCCCUUAGCCUCACGUCAGUGGUCGUAGCAAUUUAUCUAGCCACAAUGCAUAAGAUGGUUAGUCCAAAAGCAUAAGAGGUUAGUCCAAGGUACCUUUCUCAGAAUAACAAAGUGCUCGUGUCCUUCUCAGAUUUCAGUAGCGGGAUCAGACUACCCAUCUUCCACACAUCGGGCACUAUAAUAGUGUUCAGAUAGAUUUCUGAACAGUUGUAAGGUAAUCGACUCUAGGCAGUUCCAGAUUCUUCAGCAUCAGUGUGGAGAUUUUGUCUGGAACCAGCGCUUUGCGCGACAUGGCGCCACGGAUGAUGCACGGUUGUUGUUGUAGCAGUGUGUUGUUCACUGAAAGACUCCAUCGGACCAAUGAAAGACUCCAUCGGGUCAAUGCGGUAUGUACAACCGGCUGCCAUGGGAUUGCAAGGUAAUUUGUGAUGGCUGUCCAGCGGCACGGAGAUCACGAUUAUACAGAUGGCUCCCCUUAUAGCCUUUUCACUCUCGGGUCGAUAAAUUGACAUUUUUUUAAGGAAAAUAUCUCACAAGUAUCGCCAGGAUGUUUUAUUUAAGAAAAAAAAAUGUCCAAGCAUACAAAUAAAAAAUAAACCAAAAUAAAAAUCA